UUUAAAAAAAAAAAAAAAAAGCCCAAACCAAAGUGAUGAAGCAGGCUAGUAGAGGCAUGGACCACUAAGAAGGUCGCCGGAGAUGGGAGCACCCUAGAAAACUCACCGGAAGCAAGUCCAUGUACCGGCAUAUGAGAAACAAUGCAACACUCUCGACAGAUCGCGUAGCUAUGUGCUUCACCGGAUGGCAGCAGAUCUCCUGGAAUAGGCCAAUUGGCAGUUGCUCCUUCUCCUGAGGUGGGUGAUGAUAGUCAACCCCCACUGCAACAGUCCUUUUAAGCUUUGGCCUACAAGAAACCCUAACUAGAUCUGGUACUAUUUAUGCCAAAAACCAGUGGUUGUGCUCUGAUAUCAUGUUCAAACAGGUUUUGUGGGAAGAAACGGUUUAUUUUUGUGUAUAUUUGAUUAGAUACAUGUCCCUAUAUUUAUAUGCAAGAGUUUGAUACUAAACAGGUAACUAAAUAUAAUAGGAAACAUAAUCUACUCCUAUUUUAACUCCUACAAAUCUUCUAUAAUUCUCCUAUACAGGAAAUUUAAAUCUGCUGUAUAGGAAAUACGGGAUUUCCAACAAUUAUAAACAAUAGAUAGAGUGGGUAGGUCCGCAAAUAACAUCUUGCAUGAGACCUCUCAAUCCCAAGAAACUGUCUCUUUAACUUUGUGGCUUGGAACUACAUCUCUCAUGCCAAACAAAUAAGUAUUUUGAUUAUAGCAGUGCCUUAAGUUGCCCUACAAAACACUUUUCAUGGAAUUUCUUUUCCCCCCAUCUGGAAUAUGAUAUGAAAAUCUCACUCUUCUUUUUUUAUUUUUUGCCUUGCAUAAAUGUCAAUAUCUUUUACUUCCAUUAAUCUCGGUUAGGUAAUGAACUAAAAAAAAUUGCAAUAAUUCCAUUUGUGUGUGUGUGUAAUUUGGGAUAUAUGACAUUUUAAUUGUUUAAUUUUAGUUAUUGAGUAUGACAUUUUAUUUAGGAUAUAUCCAAUUCACCAUGGUAAUGUAAUAUGAAUGGACGUGAAUAUGUAGACAUUCCAUUCCAAUUUCACUUUUUGAGAUGACUAGAUACAAUUUAAUUGUAAUUUUUAAUAUUAUUCACUUAAUUAGAUUUCAUUUCUACCUGAAUUCAAUGGAUUCAAGUUUAUUAGCAAUAUAAAAAAUUUUGAUUCUCUAUGUGCCAAACAUAAGAAAAUGAACCCAGAUUUUACGAAUUGCUUCUACUUCCAUUCCUAGUCCUAGAAUAACCAAACAUGCUCUAAAUGUUUGGAUGUCCUAACCUUGAGGGGAUGUCCUAACCAUUGAGCGUUAGAAAUCAUUAUUUUUCUUCAGUUUCUGUUUAUUAUGUGGUUUGCAGAUAUUUCCACCUGAAUUCAAGGGAGUCAAGUGUAUUAGUAUUAUAAUAAAUUUUGAUUCCUUAUAUGCGAAACAUAGGAAAAUGAACCAUAUUUUUGGAGUUGCUUUUAUUUCUAUUGCUAGAGUAAACCGAACAUGGCCUAAAUGUUUGGAUGUCCUAACCAUUUAUUUUUCAUCAGUUUCUUUUUAUUAUGUGGUUUGCGGAUAUUUCCACCUGAAUUCAAGCAAUUCAAGUGUAUAAAUAUUAUAAAAACA
rnacentral:misc_RNA from 1 species